UACGUAGGGUGCGAGCGUUAAUCGGAUUUACUGGGCGUAAAGCGUGCGCAGGCGGCCCGUUAAGACAGGUGUGAAAUCCCUGGGCUCAACCUAGGAAUUGCGCUUGUGACUGGCGGGCUCGAGUACGGUAGAGGGGGGUGGAAUUCCUGGUGUAGCAGUGAAAUGCGUAGAGAUCAGGAGGAACACCGAUGGCGAAGGCAGGCCCCUGGGCCUGUACUGACGCUCAGGCACGAAAGCGUGGGGAGCAAACAGG
rnacentral:rRNA from 1 species